CAGUGCAACAAGAGAUGAUUCUGUAUGGAGUUAUAUUUGUGCCACAAUCCUGAGCGCACAGUGUGAAAUUUUGAGUACAGAAAACAAUUUUGAGCAAAGAAAAACUUAAUCUGAGCAAACAAAAAUCUAUUCUGCACUCAAAAAAUAUAUUUUUAUAUUUGUAACUAUCCACAUACACACACAGUCUUAAUGUUUUUCACUCGGUUUUUCACUCUGCUCUCCUGUGGAUCUCUGCUCUACGUCCUCGCUACGUCUCUCUCGCUCUCGCUCAACAUCUGCUCUCUGCACGCGCUCAAAUCUGCCUUCACGCUCGCUCAGCUCUGCACGGCGUUACAAAUGUGCCACAAUUCCAGCCAAUCACAGACUUCUGAUUCUAUCCAAUCGGGUCCCUGUUUCGGCCGCCUCUCGGAAGCGCUGUUAAAAACGAUCGCUAAAUCAACUGGAGUUCUGCUUUAUACGCUGGACUACGACAGAUUUUCGAAAGUCAGUCCUGCUUCCGCAACAAAACGAGGGAUUUAGCAGAUGUGCUAGCUAAACAACAUGACAGAUCCAAAUAAUAACAACCCAAAUACUCCGCCACCAUAUCAGAUUUCAAAGGUCCUGGCUGAAACAUUCCCAAAAUGGAAGAUCUUUAUGGGGGGGUGGCUCUUGCAUAAGGCAACAGCACUUUUCAAAGAUGCCAAAGAAGACAUGUUAGCAGUGUAAUGAAGUGAUGCCUCUGCAGAUGCUUACAAUAAAGGAAAAUCACUUUCUGAUGAGAGUGAUGAAGAGGUUGAACAUGUGGCUGAUGCACAGUCUCUGAUGUUGCUGGCUGAUGAAGUUAUAAACUGUGGAUACACAAGCCAGAUCAAGCUGGAUAAUAAACAAAACACCAUUCGACUGAUUCCAAUGCUUCAGCCAGUGAGAAAGGCCAUGGAACUGUAUGUUCUGCUCAGUCAGAUGGCUGCAAACCCUGAAGCUUUACACACUCUUUGUUCCUGGAAGAUCAUCAAAAUGCUGAUUUCAUAAUGAACUGCCGACCACAGCUCAGUGAAAAGGGGACAUCUCAGGAGAGAACUGAGAGAUUAUAAACAUCAUGCAAGAUUUUUGCCAGGAGCUUGAAAUAUCAGUGCUGCAGUUGAGGAUCCACUCUCUUGGAGUUCAGCAUGAAGAGCCCACAUUCCCAUCCUCCCUGAUGAAAAGAGACAUUUCAAAAUAAUAUUCAUGUUUGACCACGAAUGCAGGGAGCCACUUGGAGAUCACUCCGU